CUGUGCGUGACUGUGCAGUUUUUAAAGGUGCGCGUGUGAAAGUGGUUUGUGUUGUAGUGAAAUUUUAGUCUAGUGUCAGUGUUCAAAAUUCCCAGCAAUGCUCAAAAGUUGUAGUAAAGUGUUUAAUGAAAGAGAAACACAGGAAAGGCUAUGAUAAUAAUAUACGCUGGAUACACAAAGUCGCGGCCUAAUCAUUGACCUUAACCUUGAAACAAACACAAUUAUUUAAACUUCAACGAACACAGCUACAUACGUUAUUUACAGCAAAGGUGAAAGGUUAUGAAGGAAAUUAGAAUAAAUUGCUAGAACGCUGAGGUGGAAAUGAAGUAAAUAUAAUUAGCGUCAUGAAAAUACUGGCUGGCGUACUUCAGAAUAUUGUACCAUAAAAAUAGUGUGGCAAAAGUGGAUGCCUCUUUGAGCGAAUAACAUGCUGCUGAACUGGAAUUGAAAUGUAAAUACUUUGCAUAUAGUCUAAGGCAAAAUUAAGGAACAACAUGUAAACAGUAAUAGCUUAUUUUGUUAAUAUCAUGUCAGUAUAUGAUACCUACAGUUAGUUGGUAAGGGCAUAGCAGGUUAUAAAAUUUUCGUAGUAUUGUGAACAAGUGAACUAAUGUUAAUACAACAAUAGAAAGAAAACUGAAGUAAUAUAAGCUCACAAUAUAAUCACAGACAUGGAUUACCACCAUGUACAACACAAGAAAUUGAUAUAUUUUCAGAAUUAUAUUACAUUAUAUUCAUACAUCUGAGAACAAAUUGCCUGUGCCAAAAAGAGUUAUCAAUUAAAUUAAUGUCAACAGUUUUUUAUGUGCCAGAAUUCCAGAUACAGUGGUUGUGGGUAUCAACAAAUCAUAUGCUGGUGCUGUUAUAACUUAAUAUCAGAGAAACUGCAUGAAGUGUAGAUAUAGUGUAAAGACUGGGGAUCAAAACCGAUUCUCACAUUUUAAGAACAAUAUUCUCCUUGGAUCAGAAAAGUAUGCAAGAAAUGCAGAAAAGUGUUAAAAGACUUAGAAAUAAGUGCCAAACAACAGAGGAAUUGUGAGAAUAAAAUGGUGCAAGAUGAUUAAUAAGAAGACUCUGAUGACAUCUCAUAUGGAGCAGAGGUGCAUGAACACUACCUUCAGCAUUGGAGUUCAAUUCAUAUUUGUCGAAGAAACUUUGCAAUACUAAGAAAGAAAGGAAUUUCUUCAAAUACUGCAUUCGGGUGGGAACAAUGAGGAGGAAGACAGAUGAGGCAAGGAAAGCAGAAGUGUGGCUCAAGGGUGUCCUGUCCAACACGUGUGUUUGACGGCUACAUUGAUCUAGCAGCUGACAGAUGAAAAAUGGUCCUUACAGCAUCACUGAGUUCUGUGUUAUCUCGAAACUCCGGCACGAUUUUGCAGGGACGUGGUAAUAUGUUUUAAACGCUACUGCAGCCGAUAUUUCGACAAUUUCCAGACCAUGUUAAAUCGUUAUUAGGGCAUUAUCUCCCA